AUGCUGUCCAGUCCGGGAAAGCAAGUGAUUACCAAUUUGACCCUUAGUCCCAGUGUUAUAUUUGGUUAUUUACUAAAAUCUCCUUUUGGUGGAGAAGGGUGGAUUGUUAGUGUAGAUGAUUUAGAAGAUAUAAUUGGUGGGCAUGUAUGGUUGGGUUUUAUUUGUGUAUUUGGCGGAAUUUGGCAUCUUCUGCAUCAUCCAGCAAGGCUCGGAAGUCUGAGCUAUUAA
rnacentral:rRNA from 1 species